rnacentral:rRNA from 1 species
UUGGAGGGCAAGUCUGGUGCCCGCAGCCGCGGUAAUUCCAGCUCCAAUAGCGUAUAUUAAAGUUGUUGCAGUUAAAAAGCUCGUAGUUGAAUUUCGAGACCGGCUUACUGGUCGUGCUAUUGUACGUACUGGUAUAAUCGGUUUCUCCUUUCUGACGAACUAUAAUGCCAUUAAUUUGGUGUUUUAGGGAAUCAGGACUGUUACUUUGAAAAAAUUAGAGUGUUUAAAGCAGGCUCACGCUUGAAUACAUUAGCAUGGAAUAACGGAAUAGGACGUUUGAUUCUAUUUUGUUGGUUUCUAGGAUCGACGUAAUGAUUAAUAGGGAUAGUUGGGGGCAUUAGUAUUCAAUUGUCAGAGGUGAAAUUCUUGGAUUUAUUGAAGGCUAACUACUGCGAAAGCAUUUGCCAAGGAUAUUUUCAUUAAUCAAGAACGAAAGUUAGGGGAUCGAAGACGAUCAGAUACCGUCGUAGUCUUAACCAUAAACUAUGCCGACUAGGGAUCGGAUGAUGUUAAUUUUUUAAUGACUCAUUCGGCGCCUUACGGGAAAC